CUCUGAUAUCCCUGGUUUGUUCACAGGGCAUCCUCUGCUGGCGACCUGUGCACAGCUGCAUCUCUAGAAUAGCUUCAUGUCCAAGGCGGUAAUAUCCGUCAGGUAUUAAACAUGCAAAGCUUGUGUGUUGCAUACCUCCCACCUGCUGCAAAGCGCUGGUAAAGAAAUAGAAGGAGCAGGUGCUCACAACAUCUGAAAAAAG
rnacentral:lncRNA from 1 species